rnacentral:lncRNA from 1 species
UUACGAAAUUUCGGAGCGAUUUUGUGCUGAACUCGUAGCUAGCGGUUUUCCUCUGUACUUUCCAUAACUCGCCAUCGGAGUUAAAGAUUCCUCGGCCGAGAAAAUCUUCGAGAAGGUUAACGAAGCGUUGACCUUUUGGGUAGUUCUCGAAGUUGGUCUUGAGUAUGUGUUCGACGUUUGCAGGGUUUGCCGUGAUGACGCUGUGAAUUUCGCCGGGGCUGUAAAAGAUGGUCGUGCCCUUGGGGCAGUGUUUAAGGAUUUCGGUGCUCCAGUCAAGGAAGCGGUGGCGGUUUCUCAAGUAUCCGGGCAAGGCUCCGACGACAGGGUAAUGUUUAAAGCCGACAGCAGGUCUUUUGUAUGAAGUAAAAAAGUACAAGUAGAGGUAAAGAGAGAGGAGGGAGAUGAAAAUGAAAGAUUGAAGAGAGAGGAGCAUUUCCAUAGCUAGAAUCAAGCUACAGAGAUAAGGAUCUCUCUUAUCUCGGUGAUCAAGAUAUUUAUAGAAAAAAAAAAUGAAAAGAGGCGAUAGGGGUUACUUUUCGGUGCCGUAAAUUUUUUUUUUUCGGUGUAUUAAAUAAUCUAUUAUUCGAAGAUUAUAUUGGGUCCCAAUUAAUCCAGAUUCGAGCCGGGUAGGGCCACUAGGGCGGCAAAGCUCUCCCAACAAGUAUUUAAUGCAGCUGCAUUCCCAAACCUCGAACCGAGGACCUUGGUUAAGCUAGAACAACUCCACGUCAGUUGAUCUACGCGAUGGUUGGUCAGUGCUGUGAAAUGUUAUACGUACUUGUAUUGGACGAGAAUACGAAGAGAUGAGGAUAGCUGUGCAGGUCUAUAAUUUUUGUGUUGUGCACUAAUUAUUGGCUGUUUGCUUCGAAGGGAAAUGAAAAUGAUAUAAAUUUAAAAAAUUUGGUCACCGCUUAACACAAAAUUAACACAGCAUCAUUGUAUUAACACACACCCAAAAAAAAAAAACUUCACUUUUUAUCCUAAGUUUCAUUUCCAAUGUUAUGACGUGAUGUGUCAUUAAAUUAGUUGAUAACUUUUCAUAUCUUUUAAAUGGAUUAAUUAUAUCUUAUCUACCGAGUCUUAAACGAGUGGUCUUCAAAUAACUUCAUCUAACCUAAUUUUGACUUUUUUCACAUGCGUUCUUUUAAAAAAAUAAUAGAAUCAUAAAACUACAUUUUCUCACCAUCGCAUUCCUUAAUAAAUGAUAUAUUAAUUGAGAAUAAAUUUUGAUAUAUAUAACGCUUAGUCAAGUAGGCAGAUCUCAUUUCAAAAUAGAGGAUAAGAUUUCAAAAAAAAAAAAUAAAUCAAAACUUGGUAUUAUUCGGGAAGCAAACGAUGAAGAGUCGUAUCUGAUUCUGCACAUACCUGGUAAGGCUGUACGCUACAACCUUAAUGUCAAGACUUUUUCUGGUUUGAUGCUAGCUGUGGGGUUAAAUUUAUGAUUUUAAAUGGCUUAAAUGUAGCUGUUGGACUUUUCUAUUGGCUUAUUAGUCAUUUGGAAUUCCUCUUGUUGAAUAAGCAAUUUUGAUGGUAUGAAUAUUGUUAACAAAUUAAAUGUGUUAUUGCACCAUGUAAUGCUUUCUCUUUGCUUGUUGAAGAAUGAAGAUAAAAACUACUAAUGAAUACAGAGCAGCAGAGAGUGAAUAUUUGGUCUGUUCCAACUCUGUGACUAUAAGGUGCUAGAGAAGAAAGAUGACAGGUAUAAAGAGUUGGCAUAUAUGAGGAGCUAAUUAAUUUAUUAAUUGUUGACUCUUGCAAGUUUAACCAAAGUUUAGGAAAAUUCAAUCUUGUGGUUAAACCAGUUUCCCUAAAUUAAUGCCAAUGAAGAACAUCGAUCCCUCCGCUCUUAGGUAAUUUGCUUCUUGGCUCUGCAGCGACAGACAUUUUUAUUUCUUGAAUUGCUCUUGAGGUUGAAAUGGAUUGUGGGCAAAGAAGAUGCUCAAGUGCAAUCUAGUGUGCCUUUCAUUUCUAAUUCAAAUGGAAACCAAUCAUGCCAAUCGGUGAAACACUGGCAAAACUUUUGUGUUGUGCACUAAUUAUUGGCUGUUUGCAUCGAAGGGAAAUGAAAAUGAUAUAAAAUUUAAAAAAUUUGGUCAGCGCUUAACACAAAAUUAACAUAGCAUCAUUGUAUUAACACACACCCAAAAAAAAAAAAACUUCACUUUUUAUCCUAAGUUUCAUUUCCAAUGUUAUGACGUGAUGUGUCAUUAAAUUAGUUGAUAAAUUUUCAUAUCUUUUAAAUGGAUUAAUUAUAUCUUAUCUACCGAGUCUUAAACGAGUGGUCUUCAAAUAACUUCAUCUAACCUAAUUUUGACUUUUUUCACAUGCGUUCUUUUAAAAAAAUAAUAGAAUCAUAAAACUACAUUUUCUCACCAUCGCAUUCCUUAAUAAAUGAUAUAUUAAUUGAGAAUAAAUUUUGAUAUAUAUAACGCUUAGUCAAGUAGGCAGAUCCCAUUUCAAAAUAGAGGAUAAGAUUUCAAAAAAAAAAUAAUUAAAACUUGGUAUUAUUCGGGAAGCAAACGAUGAAGAGUCGUAUAUGAUGCUGCACAUACCUGGUAAGGCUGUACGCUACAACCUUAAUGUCAAGACUUUUCCUGGUUUGAUGCUAGCUGUGGGGUUAAAUUUAUGAUUUUAAAUGGCUUAAAUGUAGCUGUUGGACUUUUCUAUUGGCUUAUUAGUCAUUUGGAAUUCCUUGUGUUGAAUAAGCAAUUUUGAUGGUAUGAAUAUUGUUAACAAAUUAAAUGUGUUAUUGUACCAUGUAAUGCUUUCUCUUUGCUUGUUGAAGAAUGAAGAUAAAAACUACUAAUGAAUACAGAGCAGCAGAGAGUGAAUAUUUGGUCUGUUCCAACUCUGUGACUAUAAGGUGCUAGAGAAGAAAGAUGACAGGUAUAAAGAGUUGGCAUAUAUGAGGAGCUAAUUAAUUUAUUAAUUGUUGACUCUUGCAAGUUUAACCAAAGUUUAGGAAAAUUCAAUCUUGUGGUUAAACCAGUUUCCCUAAAUUAAUGCCAAUGAAGAACAUCGAUCCCUCCGCUCUUAGGUAAUUUGCUUCUUGGCUCUGCAGCGACAGACAUUUUUAUUUCUUGAAUUGCUCUUGAGGUUGAAAUGGAUUGUGGGCAAAGAAGAUGCUCAAGUGCAAUCUAGUGUGCCUUUCAUUUCUAAUUCAAAUGGAAACCAAUCAUGCCAAUCGGUGAAACACUGGCAAAACUUUUGUGUUGUGCACUAAUUAUUGGCUGUUUGCAUCGAAGGGAAAUGAAAAUGAUAUAAAAUUUAAAAAAUUUGGUCAGCGCUUAACACAAAAUUAACAUAGCAUCAUUGUAUUAACACACACCCAAAAAAAAAAAACUUCAAUUUUUAUCCUAAGUUUCAUUUCCAAUAUUAUGACAUGAUGUGUCAUUAAAUUAGUUGAUAACUUUUCAUAUCUUUUAAAUGGAUUAAUUAUAUCUUAUCUACCGAGUCUUAAACGAGUGGUCUUCAAAUAACUUCAUCUAACCUAAUUUUGACUUUUUUCACAUGCGUUUUUUUUUUAAAAAAAAUAGAAUCAUAAAACUACAUUUUCUCACCAUCGCAUUCCUUAAUAAAUGAUAUAGUAAUUGAGAAUAAAUUUUGAGAUAUAUAACGCUUGGCAGAUCCCAUUUCAAAAUAGAGGAUAAGAUUUCUAUUGCUAAGGAAGCUAGAUUAUGGAUUCAAAUGUCAAAUCACUGGAAUUAAUAAGGAAAAUACUAUCUGAACAGAGGUAAGACAGAAACGACAAUACUAUAGUAUAAAUAAUACUGUCAUUUCAUAUGUAAUAGUGUUAUUGUAAUAUAAACAAUACUCAUAUUUUUAUUUUCUUACUGUCUUAAGGCCAGUUUAGAAUUACGGUGACUAAUUAAAAAAACUAUUUUUAAGGUGCAGAUAUAUAUAGUAAUCAAAAUAGGCAUCAGUUUAAAUUAUAUUUAUUUUUUAGAGUAUGUUUAAAAACAUAUAGGCAUGUCUUUUUUCUUUUUAAAACACAUAAAAUUAAAUAAAGUGAAAAAACUCCAUUAAAUAAAAUUUAAUAAACUUCAUACAUAAUGAUUAUGAUGACUACCUGCAAAGAACUGCCAUAACAAAUGUCAUUGCAGGUAGCAUGUUACUCAUGUAGUGAUGUCAAAUAUCCAAUUAUGGAUGGAUAAACACAAAUCCAUAAUUAUCCAUAAUGAAUAUAUCCAUAUCCAUAUCCAGUAUUUAAUAUUGGACAUGGAUAUGGAUUUUAUCCAUAUAGCUAUGAAGAUCCAUGGAUAUUUUAUUUUUAUUACAUAAAAAUAAUAAUAUAAAAUAGUUAAAAUUCCAAUAUCAAAUUUGGCUAUUAAACUAUUUAUAUUAGUAAUAUAUAUAUAUAAAAUGGCGGUCCGGUGGUCGGUGGCGGCGGUCCGGCAACUUUCCGGCGAAUUCCGGCGGAUGUCCGGAAUAUUUUUAUAAUUGUUUGUUUAUUAUAUUUUUUAUUUUUUAUUUUAUAAAAUUAAAAUUUUUUAAACUUGUGUUAGGUUAAACGAAUAUCCAUUGGGUAAAAAUAAUUAUCCAUAUCCAUCUGGAUAUAAUUUUAAAAUAUCAAUUUCAAGAUCCAAAAUUUUUUGGAUGGAUAUUAUCCGAUCCAAUUAGAUGGAUAUUGUGGAUAUCUAUUAUGGAGCGAUACAGUUGCCAUCCCUGCUCAUGGCACAAGAGAAAGUCGGCGAUGUGAAAUGUUACAGAAGCUACCACUGAGAAGAUAUGAUCUUAUAUAUUUGUCACUUGUACAGAUAGACAUCAAUUAUGAUUAUUAGCUUCAAUGUCAUCAAUUAUUGCCAAAGUGUGUCCAUGUUCUCCACAGCUUCAGGACCAUCUCUAUGUUCUCCACAGCUUCAGGAACCAUUUCUUUGUAUUUGCCCCAUAGCACGGCGUAGAGUCCAAUGACUAUCAGAACUGCCCCAAGAACACUGAAAAUUAAACCACAAGUAAAACAAAUGAGUUAGUGGCACUACUUUAUUUAUACGAUUAUUCGUUUUUAAUAAUUAAAACUAAAAAAAGAAAAAAAAUAGAAAAUUGGAUUUAAUUGAAUAAUUACCCUCCAACAUAUAUCUUUUCAGCAAGAAGGAAAGAGCCCAUAAUUGCAACAAUGAUCAUCAUCAGAUGGCUGAAAGCGGUUACAAGGACAGGCCCUCUUUUUUGCAUCACCAGCCGUUGAACAUAGUAAGCAAUGCCUGAUGACACAAUACCCUGUACAUAAAAUUAAAAAUAGAAAAAGAAAACGUAAAUAUCAAUUAUAAUAUAUAUUAAGUAAAUUAUUUAUAGCAAAAAAAGAGAGUGAAGAGGAAAGGGGAGAGAGAGAGAGAGACUCACAGCAUAAGCAGCUGCAAGAAGAUUCAUGUCCCAACCAAUUGUCCAAACAGAAUCUUUGUGUUCCAUCACAAAAGUAACAGCAGCGGAUUGCAAAGUUCCAAGAAAACACACAAUGGCUGUGAGUGAGAGGUGAGCUGGGUACCUCCUUAUUGUCACUGGCUGUAGUAAAAUUAAAUAACCCAACAAAUUAAAGUUAAUUAAAUUCAUGAACGUACCUACAAAAUCACAAGUCAUAUAGUAAUUAACUAGAAUGUCAAAUCACUGGACUGCUGUACGGCCAAGGCGGAUGUACGGUACAGCAGACCCUUAAGCCAGUCUUUGUCCGAAGAAGUAGUUGCCGCAGGGACAGGUGAGGAUGUAUGACUGUGGAAGUGCUGAGACCAAACCAAAUUAAUGACAUUACCUGUAUAUAAUGUCAUCAACAUGGCUCCAGCCACUGUCACUAUAGCUCCCACAAUUUUUGCUUGGCAUCUAAUUUUCUUUAUAUCCACUUUGAGAAAGUCGGCGACGUGAACUUUAAGCCGGCGUAGUAGAAGUUUUGAUCAAUCACAGGCCUAUAUAAAGAUCAAAAAUGAAAAAUAAAUAAAUAAACGAAUUAAUGUAUCUUAAGCUUGAUGGUAGUCUUCAUCAGUACUGUGGAGAUAUUUAAACGAACCCAAGAAGGCCAAGAACAAAGAGUUGCAUGAAAAUGGGAAAAGUUAUCUUUGGCCUCACUUUCCUGUACGUAUAACGAAACCAACCAACCAAAAAAAAAAGAAAAAAAGAAAUGAAGUAAUAUAUAUAUUUGAAACUGUAAUAAAUGAAAAAUUUUAAUUUCUCAAGCAUUGUGGUGGUAUUUAUUAAAGGACCUCUCAAGAACGAGAGCGAAAGGGGCGAUGACUGCGGUAGCAAAGGCAUGACGAUACACAACAAGAACAUAGUGGCUCAUUCCUCUAUUGAGGGAAACCUUGGUGAUUGUUUGGGGAAUUAAAUAGGAUGACCAUGAUCUCCUCCAAGUAAAAGUGAGCAAAUAGUUUAGCAGAUCACCUCAACCAGGUGGUAACCUCGAUGAGCAUGAGCAGACCACCUCAACCAGGUGGUAUGAGCUUGAGCAGACCACCUCGACCAUGUACUAUGAGCUUGAGCAGAUCACCUCGACCAGGUGGUAUGAGCUUGAGUAGAUGACUUCGACCAGGUGAUGACCAGGAAUCAAGGUUCAGUUAAAACAAACCACCACAAACCUCCCCUGAAAAAUCAGGGCACGAAUUUGAUCAAUUAAUGGUUAUUGUCACGAUCUAAGGUCGUGGGGAUGGGGUGUUUAUAAAAACCCCAAGAAAAUCACGCCAAGAGGGGAAUUUUUCUUUCUGAAUUUUUAUUUUAUUCUUUUAUUACAUUUACAUGAGAUUUUUUGUUCAUAAAAAGGAGAAAUGACAUAUUUGGUUUUUCCUAAAAACCUGAUAACUGACUUGAGCAUCGAAGGGUUCAUGCCGGAAAAACUUCUGGCGCCUCUAAUCGUCUUCUGUGAUUUUAGGUAUUCACCGGUUAAUCGCUAAUGGUCACAAGACAUCUUGACGAUUGGCCAGCCGAUUCUCCACUAAAUAAAUUUAAUGCUGUUGCGGGAGUCUGGUAUCAAGCCACUAACCGACUCAAUUGGAUUCUGGCAUCAACAGUGAUGAUGUUCAUUCUGGCAUAGCCAAAUUGCAGUGAUAUCAUAGCAAUAUAAGGCUUGCACCUUUGAAGAAAAUUGAGAAAUAUGGAUAAAUUUGCAUUUGGUGAAAUAUGGAUACUCACCCUUUUUUCUUGUAGAUAGGUGCAUCUGUAUUUUCUCUUUUAUCGAUAUAUGCACCAGUUAAAAUUUGAAAUAUCAAGUAUCUUUUGUUUAGAUAAUUAAUACAAGAUUUUUAAAAAUAUAACAUGAUUCUUAACAUGAAUACUUGCAAAAUUUGGCUUUGAUACAAUUAUUUGGGGCAUUAAGUUAUAGGUGUUCAAUUCAUAAAAACCAUCUUAUUGGGUGAAAUAACUUGUUCUAUUUGUUAAUAUAAUUAAAGUUCCCUUCAUUAAAUAACAAACCUCUAACUAGUUGUAUUACAUUGCAUGUAUAUAAGGAUUUCUCUAAAAUCAAACAUCAGUUUAACCGAUAAAUUAUUCAUGAAUUGUAGAGCAUAAUUGUUUGAGAGAUGGAUUGUUUGGUUACCAUUUGACAGAUAUAUUUGGUUUAUCAAUGGAUAAAGUAUUGAAAAAUAAUCCUAGGGUUCUUAAGUAUUAUCCCAAAAGUUCUAUUAACGAAUUAAAUUAUGCACAAAUCAACAUCAUCUUUUAAGGAGUAGGUAAAGUUCUAAUUCAAUUUUUUUAUUCCUAUCUUCGAUAGUAUUUAAACUUGAGAGGUUAACUAAAUAAAACUGUUUAAAAAUACUCCAGACAAAUCCAUGGGGCAGCAACCGUGUCAUUUGAUCUCAAAAUAUAUAGAAAUAUCUUGAAUGCUUGAAGAGUUAAAAGAGAUUUAGAAAUCCUAACCGUAAUCUUCAUUAAAGGUCAAUCAAAUUUUAUAGUCUAAACUAAUUUGUUAGAUGAGCUGUGAUGUUUGACCUCCAUUAUAAAGCUCAGCCCUCACUUGUUAAUUAAUUCUAUGUACUUUUAAAAAUUUAUAAAACUUUUCAAUUGCAAAAAGGUUCUUUUUUUUUUUCCCCUCACAUUUGCACUGUCUCAGUGGCUCUCUCAAAUCUCCUGGAUGAUCAAUUUCUGAAAGUGGUGGUACAUUAGGAAAGGGAAAAAGUAAAAAUAAAAACAAGAACAUAACAAAAACACUAAAUAUUGAAUAAUUAAGAAAGUGGAUUGUGUUGUAAUUUUAGAAAUACAUGUAAUUAAUUGAGCAUUGAGGAGUUGGGUUGCUGAAAAAUAUAGAAGGGGGUUGAUUACUCUUGUUAGCCUCAUUGACAGGCCCAACCCAUCCAUGAUUAUGAUGUGUAACUUGAAACUGGCCCGCUCAUUUUUUUGUCCAUCAGACCAAUGCUCAUACCUUUUACUUUGUAAAAACGAAAAACCAAAUCAUAAACCCAAGCAUGUUUUGAAGUAGUAGAUUAAAAUCACAAAUUUCAGAUGCAAGACAAGUCCGUCCUUCCAUUUGUUUUAAUAAAUUUCUGAAAUUUUCGUCAUUCAUUUCACGGAUUCAACACGUAAAAGUUUGGGAAAUAUUACCGGCCCAGAGGAAAUGACAAGAUCGGCCCAAACGCCCCCCUUUUACGGAACGCAAGCAAGAAAUUAAAGAGUUGUCCUAUUAGCACCACGAAGGCAUCCUAAUAAAACCCCUUCCCACAUUUACAAACAACUCACAGCUCUGGAAAUGUUGCAGUGUUGGUGGUACCCAAGGGCCAAGGCUUGGUAAGGCAUUUUGCUAUCCAGUCUACUCCUAAAAGCAACUAUCGUGUCGGAAAGGAAUUUACUUUUUGACACGGUGUCAUUCAUUCAUUAAAGGGAAAGAGAAUAAAAGUUAAAACGGAACAAGCACAGACCCUGAUCAGAUCGUUGACGUUGAAGUUGAUCCAUCGCUUUGCAUUUGCUUGCCGCAUCCUCUUUUCCUCAAUCACCAUUCCUUUGCAGAAAGAUUUGUGCGUCUGUCCGGGACAUUGAGAGCUCUUGGAGCAUUGUAAUUAGCCUGUCAGAUUUGACCUGCAGCCAGGUACUUUAAUUUACACAUGUUUAAAUAUUGUUUCAGCAUAAAAAUUAAGCUCAUUUGAAUUUACAUGAUUCAGCUGUUCGUUCUGCUCAGAACUGAAGUUUCAAUGUCGAAGGAGCUGUCAUGUUCUUUGCCGAGAGAAAUCGUCUCCCUUAGCGAAGGAAGACUACCCGUCCUAUCCUCGGGUAAAAGUAGUGAUGUUGAAAUCAGUACACGUCCACGCCCUGAACGGCAGGUACCCCUCUGUUCUUUCUUUCUAGAGAUCGAAAAGAUUUAAAAUUUGCUUAAAAGAUUUUAAUUUUAUUGUCGUUUUUUUAAAGAAUCUAUGAUGAUUUUAUUCCUGCAGUUGUUUGAUGAAAAACUUAGAAAAUCAUGAUACAUUACUAAACUAUGUAGACCAUUAAUGCUCUGUUUUGUGAUGUAUCUAGUUAAGUCAUCUGAAUUCUUGACCUGUGCUAAUUACUAAACUUUUUAUGAAGAUCCAUUCCAAUUUCCAAAUAAUCCCACGGAUCUCAAUUUAAUUCUUUUCAUUAUGAUCACCACCGGUCUCUGUUGACAGGAAAUCAAUAUUAAUGAGGCUAAAGAACAGAAUGAGAAUCAAGAGAAAGUGAUAUAUCUAGUAAGUCAACCGAAUUCGUGACCUGUGCUAAUUACUAAACCUUUUUAUGAAGAUCCAUUCCAAUUUCCAAAUAAUCCCAUGGAUCUUAAUUUAAUUCUUUUUAUUAUGAUCACCACAGGUCUCUGUUGACCGGAAAUUGAUAUUAAUGAGGCUGAAGAACAGAAUGAGAAUCAAGAGAAAGUGAUGGUGAACCAAGAGGCCGAGAAUUCUUGCCGUAAUAAAUGAAGAAAAUUGAAAUCAAGGGUUUGGGAGGAGUUCACAAAGCAUAAUGAAUUGGCUGUAUGCAAUCAUUGUAAGAGGGAAUUUAAUGGUUCAAGCAAGAAAGGAACCACUCAUCUCAAGAACCAUUUACAAAGAUGCCGAGGUAAAAAAAACAGAGUUGGAGAUGCCGAUAAAUCGAUAAAAUCUGUGAUCGAUGCAAUAGGGUUAGGGAUGAGUUCUGAGCAUUGGGAUCCGUUAGUGCUAAACUCCAAAAAGGACGAUAUACUCCAUGUUUACAAUGAAGAGAAGGAAAAACUUCGUGGGUUUCUCAAUAAACUCUCAUGCCGUUUUAGCUUAACAAUUGAGUGGUAUGCGAAUUGCUGCCUCUUGGUGGUACAUUAUAUCAAUGAUGGUUGGGUUCCUAUGUGGAAGGUUAUCAGUCUUCAGGAUGUCAAAUUUACUUAUACUAUUCUCUUAGAAAAUAUGAAACGCUCCUGCUUGGAUUGGAAGAUUGAUAGGGAUAUAUGUUCUACAGUAAUUACCAUGGGCGAUAAUGAGAUUAGUUAGAUUAGCAGCUGGGUUUGUGAAAGGGGUUCACUUCCCUUUGGUGGGCAGACGACGGCUAUUAGUGGCUUGGUUGAUAUUCUUCUCACUUUUGUUGACAAUUUAUCAUCCUGCAUAUGUCAUGCGGUUGAAAUAAGGCGGUGUUUUCAUUAUGUCCUUAAGAGUACUCCAUCGAAUGAACAUAAAUUUCGAAUGAUUUCAGCUGAUAAAGUUAAGUCCAUGGGCAAGAAAACUUAUGGCUUUGAACAGCUUGAGAUUGCCGUGGGUCUUAAGGAAGUUCUUUGUGAGCUUGUGAAUGCCGAUUCUAAUUUCAAGUCAAUGAAUUUAACAAAGGAAGACUGGCAGAAGGCGACUGUCGCAUAUGAGCAUAUAAAAGCCUUACACGAUGUAGCGUGCAGUUUAUCAGAGAAUUGAAAUCAAGGGUUUGGGAGGAGUUCACAAAGCAUAAUGAAUUGGCUGUAUGCAAUCAUUGUAAGAGGGAAUUUAAUGGUUCAAGCAAGAAAGGAACCACUCAUCUCAAGAACCAUUUACAAAGAUGCCGAGGUAAAAAAAACAGAGUUGGAGAUGCCGAUAAAUCGAUAAAAUCUGUGAUCGAUGCAAUAGGGUUAGGGAUGAGUUCUGAGCAUUGGGAUCCGUUAGUGCUAAACUCCAAAAAGGACGAUAUACUCCAUGUUUACAAUGAAGAGAAGGAAAAACUUCGUGGGUUUCUCAAUAAACUCUCAUGCCGUUUUAGCUUAACAAUUGAGUGGUAUGCGAAUUGCUGCCUCUUGGUGGUACAUUAUAUCAAUGAUGGUUGGGUUCCUAUGUGGAAGGUUAUCAGUCUUCAGGAUGUCAAAUUUACUUAUACUAUUCUCUUAGAAAAUAUGAAACGCUCCUGCUUGGAUUGGAAGAUUGAUAGGGAUAUAUGUUCUACAGUAAUUACCAUGGGCGAUAAUGAGAUUAGUUAGAUUAGCAGCUGGGUUUGUGAAAGGGGUUCACUUCCCUUUGGUGGGCAGACGACGGCUAUUAGUGGCUUGGUUGAUAUUCUUCUCACUUUUGUUGACAAUUUAUCAUCCUGCAUAUGUCAUGCGGUUGAAAUAAGGCGGUGUUUUCAUUAUGUCCUUAAGAGUACUCCAUCGAAUGAACAUAAAUUUCGAAAGAUUUCAGCUGCUAAAGUUAAGUCCAUGGGCAAUAAAACUUACGGCUUUGAACAGCUUGAGAUAGCCGUGGGUCUUAAGAAAGUUCUUUGUGAGCUUGUGAAUGCAGAUUCUAAUUUCAAGUCAAUGAAUUUAACAAAGGAAGACUGGCAGAAGGCGACUGUCGCAUAUGAGCAUAUAAAAGCCUUACACGAUGUAGCGUGCAGUUUAUCAGAGAGCAAAUGUAAAACGGCAAAUGCAUAUUUCCCAAAGGUAUGUGACAUAUAUAUGAAAUUGCUUCAAUGGGAAAGAAGUGAAGAUGAUUGUGUCGGCAAGAUAGCCUUGGAAGCAAGAGAAAUAUUUGUUAACAGAUAUUGGAUGAAGUAUGAAUUAAUCCUAGUAAUUGCAGCUGUUCUUGAUCCGCGGUUCAAAAUGGAUAUUGUGCAACUUUGGUACAAAGAGAUUUAUGCUAGUGCUGCUCGCACACAUCUUGAGAAAAUUAAUGGCGAAUUUAAUCGUGUUUAUAAUGAAUAUGCCAAGGGCUCCGGAAAAUCCAGAUCUGGUGAUGCGAGUUCUUCAAUGUCAUCCAAAUUGUUAGACGCUAUGGGUAGACCGUGUACGUUGUCGCAUGGCGUCUUUGAUGACGGUAUCGCUUCACCAAAAUCAGAACUUGAUUGCUAUUUGAACGAGCCUAAAUUUCCCAGGGUUGAAGAGUUUGACAUACUGGCUUGGUGGCGUGUUAACACUCCAAAAUUUCCAACGCUUGCAAGGAUGGCUCGUGAUUUUUUAGCAAUGCCUAUUUCUCCUAGUGCUGCUACUGCAUAUGCUUGCUUCAGUAAAGAAGCUAAGGAUAUUUUUGAUACAGGCCUAGAUAAUGACCUUAUAACUGCCUUGGUGCGUUUAAAAGUAUGGUUGUAAUUAAAGCCUGAAAAAAAAAUUAAAAAACUCUUCUGAGCGGAGUAAGAGCAUCUCCAAAAGCCUCUAUAAAUUUUAAUUUUUAAAUACAUAUUUGCUUACUUAUACGGCAAAUAGAAAGGUGAAAAAAUAUGAUAUUUUCCAAAAGACUUUUCAAAUAGAAAUAAAUUAAUAUUAUUUUAAUCAUAUAAUUAGUUUUUUAAAGGAAAAGUCAAUAGCAAUUAAAUCAUUUCUCUUUCUUUCUUCAAUGAAAAGUAAUAAAAUAUAAAUUGAAAAGGGAGAAAUUAACUCUCCAAAUUUGAAGAGAGAGAAUCAAUUCUUAUUUGAAUAAUUUUAAUUAGAGUGUCUUUUGGAGCUUUAAAUAUUUAUGUGACUUUUCAAAUAAGUAAUAAAAUCUUAUUUAAAGAGCUUUUUGUUGAUGCUCUAAGAGUAUCACCAAAAAACUCUUCAAAUAAGAUUUUAUUACUUAUUUGAAGAGCUAUAUUAACAUUCAAGGCUUCAAAAGACACUCCAAUUAAAAUUCUUCAAAUAAGAAAUGACCAUCUCUUUUUAAAUUUGAAAAGUUACUUUCUCCCUCUUCAAUUUAUAUUUUAUUACUUUUUGUUGAAAAAAAGAGAAAUGUGCUUUAAUUACUAUUGACUUUUCCUUUAAAAAAAUAGUUAUUUAAUUAAAAUAACAUUAACUCAUUUAAAGAGUCUUUUGGAGAACAAUAUCUUUUUUCACUCAUCUAUUUACCACAUAGGUAAGCAAAUGAAUAUUUGAAGAGUAAAAUUUAUAGAGCAUUUUGAAGAUGCUCUAAGUUGUCCUCAAUUUUGCUACUUACCAAAAAUGUUUUUCUUUCAAUAUGCAAAAAUGUAUUAUGAAUCUAAUUGUGAAGUAUCUAAAGUGUUAUCUAAAUUUCUAAUUCAUUUCUCAAUCUCUAAAUUGAAUAUAAUUAUAAAUAAGGUUGGCAAAAUUUGUAUUCGGAUAUGAAUAUCCAUAUCUGCAUUUACAUUUUUAUAUAUGAAUCCGCAAAAAAAAUAUGUGGAUCUGCAUGUGGGUAAUAGCCGCAACGGAUGUGGGUGGAUAUUCCAGAUAUUCGGAUUAACAAUAAUCAAAAUUUGAUAAUUUAAUAUAUAAUUUAAAAAUUCAAUGAUUUAGCUUAUAAUAUAAAAAAAAUUCAAUCAUAAUUCAACAAUUAAUAAUUGAACAUGACUAACAUACAACAACAUCAUAAAUCGAUAAAUAAAAUUCAAUUUUUAGUAUAUAUAUUUUUAAUAUAAUUUGUUUUUUUUAUAAAAUUUAAUAAUUUACCUAAUAAUAUCAAAUAAAAUUCAAUCAUGAUUAAACAAUUAAUAAUUCAACAUGAUAACAUACAACAACAUCAUAAAUCCAUAAAUAAAAUUUAAUUUUUAAUAUAAAUUUUUAUUUUUAUUUGUUAAUUUAAAAUAAAUUUAACCAAAUCCAAAUAUUCAAUUUUCCAGAUGAACUUGCAUCUCGAUGUGGAUUCGGAUCCGUGCGGAUCUCAAUUUUCUACAUUCGGGUCCACAUUUUUUAAUAUGCUGAUCAUGAUUUUUUGAGUCCUUGCGGAUGUGAGCGGGAUUCUGAUCUUAUUGUCAUCCUUUAUUACAAAUAGUGAUGACUAUUUAUAGCCAAUGAAACAUAUCAAUUAAUCGUGCAUUUAGCGAUAUACUUUUCGAAUCUCAAUGCAUUUUGAAUUGAUUAGUCUGUUGCAUAACUCCCAAUAUAUUUCAAGGGAUGUGAUACACACACCACAGAUUGUAUAAUUACAUUUAGAAAGUUCAUUAAUGUAAAACACACAUUAUUUUUAUCAAGUCCUAAACAGACAUAUCUCAUAAUAGAACAACAUUAAACAAAAAAUAAUGAUAUAGUCACAAAUUUUUGUACAAAUUGAUGUGGCAUGAUAAAAUUGGUUAAAUUAAAUAUAUCUUACCCCACAUGAUUUAUUUAUAUUAUUUUAUAUUUUCAUUCAACCAAUGAAUUAAUAGCACACCAAUUUAUAUAAGAGUUUGUAACUAUAUCAUCGCUAUUAAAUAAAUACUCUCUGCAUACAAGUACAACAAAGGAUUCCAGAUACCGUAUCUAACAAAUGCUUCUUUUUCUUAACAAAGUACUCGUACCAACCAAACGGUAUCAAUAAUUUAAUAUCGAGAUACUUCAAAAGAAAAACAGUGCGUACCCCCACUAAUGAUCUCCGCCUCCACUUCACCAAUACAAAUCCUUAACGUAACUUUGACAUUUAUUCAAAUUUAAAGAAUAUUUGUUAAAAUAUUUCAAAGGAUUAAAGAAGGGUUACGUCUUUCUUUCACUCUGACAUGUAACCCAUCUUUCAUUGUAAGUGUUCUCUGCACACGUGUCCUUAUCCUGUACGUCAAUCACAGGCUUAAAGGUGCUUCCCACAGUUAGGGCCCUCCCCAAAAUACCUCGUGGAUAAGACAAAAAAAAAAAAGAAGGGUUACGUCUUUCUUUCACUCUGACAUGUAACCCAUCUUUCAUUGAAAGAGUGAAAGAUAAUACCUUCUCUGGACACGUGUCCUUAUCCUGUACGUCAAUCACAAACCUCUCGAUCACAGAGGCUGCUAUUGAUUUCAUCAGAAUAUAAGCCAUAUCUUUACCAAGACACAUCCUCGGCCCGGCAUGAAAAGCGGGAAAACGAAACACGUGCUCCGGCCGAUAGGUUCCAUUUUCCAGCCACCUUUCCGGCAAAAACUCAUUGCAAUUCUGUCCCCAUAUGCUCUCCAUCCGCCCCAUUGCAUAUGCAUGAUACAUAACAAACCAUUUCUUUCCAACAUAUGUUCCAUCCGGCAACAUAUCGUCGCUUUGGCAAGCUUUUGUAUCAACCGGAACUGACGCGCAUAACCUCAACGUUUCGGACAUCGCCGCAUGCAAAUAAUGCAUGUCUCGUAGCUCGUCGAGACUAUAAGUAUCGCCAAUAUUUCUCCCGUUUCGGGCCCAAAUCGAUUCGAGCUCCUUCAAAAUAUUUUGCUCAACCUUGGGAUGGGAUGCUAGUAGCCAAAAAAACCAACUCAAAACUGAAGAUGUAGUUUCACGUCCUGCUUGAAUGAAGCUAACCACGAUAUCGCGGAGGAAUUCGGUUGAGUUCUCGCUGUUUCCGAUAAAUCGGGACAGUAAAUCUUCAUCCACAUUUUCUGAUUUUUCUUCCAGUCUUGAACGUAUAAUGUUAUUUACAAAUUCAUGGACAAUUUCAAUCGAAUUCUUAAGCUUUCGUUCCGACCCGAUAUUAAAUUUCUUCUUGAUACUCCACAUCCGUUUGAAAGCGUAGUAGAAUCUCCCGGAACUAAGCGUUGCUGCAUCUCCAAAUGCCCGCAUAAACUCUGAACCUGCGGUUCCGUCGCCGCCGAGAGAAGCGGGGUCAAAGUUAAAUGCCAAUUUACAAAUAUUAUCAAAUGUAUAACGCUGUAAAAUAUCUUGCAAAUCCACCAGCUGUCCAUUCUUUGCAAGAGUCGGAACUAAUCUCGACAGAGUCUCGAACCUAAUGUCGUGCAUUACGAAAUUUCGGAAGGAUUUUGUGUUGAACUCAUAGCUAGAGGUUUUCCGCUGUACUUUCCAUAACUCGCCCUCGGAGAUAAAGAUUCCUCGGCCGAGAAAAUCUUCGAGAAGGGUAACGAAGCGUUGGCCUUUCGGGUAGUUCUCGAAGUUGGUUUUGAGUAUGUGUUCGACGUUUGCAGGGUUUGCCGUGAUGACGCCGUGAAUUUUGCCGAGACGGUGAAAGGUGGCAGUGUUGUUAGGGCAUUGUUUUAGGAUUUCGGUGCUCCAAUCGACGAAUCGGUGACGGUUUCUCAAGAAUCCGGGCAAAGCUCCAACGAAAGGGUAAUGUUUAAAGCCGACAGAAGGCCUUUUGUUCGAAGUCAUGAAAAAGAACAAGCAGAGAUAAAGAGAGAGGAGGGAGAAGAAGACGAAAGAUUGACCAACAGAGAAGAGCAUUUCCAUAGCUAGAUUCAAGCUACUGAGAUAUUUGUUUUUCUCUAUAUUUCGUCGUGUAUGCAUAUAUAGACAUACGAGAAAUUCUGGAAUACGCACAUAGUAGCAGAAAAAAAUUGACAAAAUAAAUAAAAUAACGACAUGUCUACAUUAAGAUAAAAUUAUGUCAGUCUACUUGAUCUUGUAGUCGGAAUAUUUUUUGUUUUAAAUUUUUUUUCAAAUUUGGUGUUCAUAUAUCAUUUUUAUUAAUUAUGUCAGUCUAAUUUGACUAUUAAUUUGUUUCCCAAAAAAAAUUGUUGAAUUUUUUCCCUUUAUUUAUUUUUCUCUAUCCAAAUUUAGAUUUGGGGGUGAUUAUUAGGAAAUUUAAAUUGUUAAUGUGGUUUUCUUUCUGGACAUGAAGUUUUUAAAUUUAAUAUUAGAAAUGACAAAUAGUGAAAUGGCUUUUUGUAAAAGAUGUAUAGUUGUGUCAUCAUAAGAAGAAAUUCUUGAAUAUAUUAUAAGUACUACACCCAAUUAAUAUAUGUAUGACAUGUGUAGUUCAAAUGUCCAAUUGUAUAUAACUACCAAUUACAUGGUGAUUAUGCACACAUAGUAGAGCUCGAGGAUACAUAUGUAAUUAAUUAGGUAUAGCAUCUCUCAUAUGCUCUACAAUCUCUCUAUCAUAAGAGCUAAAUCAGGCUAUAGCUAAUUUGAAAGAGAAUCAUAGUAGAGUUCGAGGAUAAAUGAGUAUGAUUUGUGUAGGUUUUGUGUAGUAACUUUUGAAGAGUCCUAUAAGAGCACUGGUUUCUCCUUAUUGAACUUUAUCAUUGUGUUUUAAUUGCUUAUAACGAACUAAUUUUAUAGGUAGCAGGGACAGAGCCCCACAAAGACGAGAAUUUCAUUUUCACCUAGUUUUUCCAUCGUGGUUUUUCAUGAAACUAACGAUCGUUUCUAAGGGUGACUUCUAUUGCAUAUAACACAAAGGGAUAUUUCACGUUUCCUUACUUUGAUUGUACUCUUCAUAUAAAAAUGCUGAUUAUUCAAAUAAGAAAGGAUUUAAGUCCAAUAGGUGAUCCACAAUUGAUGAAGAGAAAUGGAAUUAAAUUAAGAAAAAGACACCGAGAACUUUCACGCUAAGCUUGUAGUGAAAUGUGCUUUAUAUUAGUUUUCUUUUCUUUUACUAAUUCUUAUUUCUUAGGCUUCUAACGAACACGCUAUCAGUUGUAUAUAGAAAGUGCCGUUAUAUUUUUUAGUUCUUCAAUGACAGUAAUCACUCGAACAAACUUCUCAAUGAUGCUAAUUAAUAUAUUCUCUAAUCCAUUAUCAUGGAACUCUUAUAUCCCAUGCAAUUUUCAUGGCGAUAGCUCCAUUGAUUCACUAAAUAAAUCUUCAUCAGACAAUAGAUAUUGCUUGUUGAAGGAUGAAUGCUUUUGUUCAUAGCUUUAUGUUGAUUAUCACUCAAUUUUGUUAGAGAAAACGACUUCUGGAGUGUUAGUGUCGAGUUCGACUAUCCCUUAAUUACAAAUAUAUUUUGAGAUUGAAUAAGGACGUUGUUAUUUUCUUAACUGAAAAUGUUAUGAUUACAAAAGAUGAAUACUAGCUUAAUUAUUUACAUUGUGCAUAAAGCACUGGGAAGAGUUGUUACCAAUCUAGCACUUGGUUUACACUUGCCUAAAAAGAACGAAGGCAGAAGCCAAAUGCUUUUGCAUAGAGUUGCUACUUUGGCUAGAGAUUAAGUGCCUGUUUGGUAUGGCUUAUUUAAGAGCCAUAAGAGCUUAUUUAAUCGUAUAAGCACUUUUUAAAAAAUUUUAUAGUGUUUGGUUAUUUUUUAGUAGAGUUUUUUUAGCUUAAAUAAGCUAAUUUACCUCUACUAGCAAAAGCCCAAAAUUUGAGCUUUUGGGAGUAGAGGUUAUAAAGCUUUUCUAAAAAUAUAUAAUAUAAAAAAUAUCACACAGUUUAAUGGUUCAAAAGUGCGUUUUUUAUUGACAACCAAACACCCAAUGACUUUUUGUCCAAAAGCUCUAUUGGUAUAAGCUCUACUGCUAUAAGCUCUACUAUUAUAAGCUCUAUUUAAUAAGUUGUACCAAACGGAGCCUAAAACUCCACUGGCCUUUGAUUUUGGUUGAUGCCGCCACAAACAAUUGUAGAAUUAAAGAUAUUAUUGAUUCUACAAAGCCUAAAUGAUGACAUUAUAUUUGAAUGGAUGAUUGUAAUUAAAUUGAAGCCAAAAAACAAAGUUUUGAAUGGAGUAAUGUUCUCCUCUUUCCUGAGUUUGAUUGUACUUUUUAUAUAAAAACACUGAUCAUUCAAAUAAGAAAGGACUUAAGUCGACUAGGUGAUCCACAAUUGAUGAAGAGAAACGGAAUUAAAUUAAGAAAAAGACACUCAAGAGAACUGCACAUUUUCUCUCAGCAUAACAUUUUUAUGCUGAAAUGAGGCCUUUAAUAGUCAUGUUAUGUUAGAAAUUUAGAACCAAUUGUUGACAGUGGGAAUCUGAAAAAAAAGGAAUGAGAUAUUGGAAGAGGAAAUUAACUUUUGCCUGAAAAAUCUUGGUUGCUCUCAGUAUAUAUUUAUCCAAUUGAUGAGAAUUUUUUCAUGUGUUUUUAAACUUAUAUAUUGGCUAAGAAGCAUUGUGCGUUAAGAAUCUGCGAAUGAGAGAGUGUACACUAGAUGACUAGAAGUAAAGUUAUCAACUUACUAUUAUUUUGUCAAGUCACAUAAUUUAAUACAUUUUUAAUAGUUUUAUAUCUAUUUACAUAGAUUUAUACAAGGUAAUCAGUAUUAUGAUAAAACCUCGUCUUUUCGUAUUGCGUCCCUAUAAUUGGCCCGUGGCGAUAGAUAUAUAAAAUAGAUUUAUAUUUGUAAUGCAUGAGUGAGUUUCUCUAAUAAGGGAUCCUGCACUUUAAUUUAUUAAAGUUCGAGAUGAACUUUUACAAUAUUAUAAACAAGUUUUAUAAUGUUGUAACCUGAUUAUUUCUAUCUAAUACAUUAAGCAGCCAAGAGGCCGUAGCAUCAAACAAGAAAUUCUGAAUGAGGUUUCGAAUUGGCUAUGAGUUUUUUAUGAAGUCUGCUCCACUCAACGAUGAAUUCAUUAAUGGGGUUGCUACUCGGGACAUAGUAAUUGUGAGCAAGCUGUGUGGAGUGAUAAACCCUUUGUUGACUUGACCGUUGAUGACUUUCCUUUUGGUAAUCUUGGUCAGCUUGCUUAACAAAUUGAUCCAAACAGUAGCUUAACGGUUCGGCUUUUGAUCCCACAAAGGAAUGGUAUUCUUCCAGGAAAAUAUAAGCUGUCCCUUCUCCUUUAUUUCCAUUUUGGCUGCUUUUGCAUUCUCCUUCAUUUCCACUUUGGCUGCUUUUGCAUAGGCCGUCCUGAUUCUGUCCAAUUUAAUUUCUGUUCGGUUUCACAAGUUAUGUGUGUGCUGAGGCUUAACUAUUGUAGAAAUCCUUAGUGACUACAUGUACUUUCGGUAUCUACCAGGUGAUAACUGGUAACAUUUUGGUCUUUUCGAGUGAUCACGUCACUCAAAAAGGGGUGAUCACAAAUUUGCACUACCAACUUGAAACUUCUGAAUGUCUCAUAGUUUUAUGUCAAUAUUACUUGUAAAUCAUUGUUGCAUGUCUCAGAGGCUAAAAGUCAAGUUCCAGCGAGUUUGAUAAUGACGAAGGUAGAAAAACACCUUCUUAAUUACCCACUAACUUGUCAAUAGUCACAAAAGCUUCAAGUCAAAAAAAGAAGCUUAUGGAUUCUAGACAUUGAAUGGUUAAUACUUAAUCGGUGAGAUUCAAUUUUGUGUGGUUGUGAAAGACCGUUUUAAAAUUAAUUAUUCAUUGAAAAGUAAUAAUGAGACUGCUCACUGAUAAUUAGUUAAAUGUACGCUUAGCAAUCAAAACUAAAUAAUUUGACCGGAGGAAAUUCCAGCUAAUGUUAAGUCUACUUCUAGGGAUGGCAAAAAUCCCCACGGGGAUGGGUACCCUCGGGGAUUUUCCCCAUUCGGGGAGGGUACGGGGAUAAUUUUAUACCCAAUUUUUUUUUCGGGGAGGGGACGGGGAAAAUUUUUUACCCAACUUUUUAUUCGGGGAGGGGACGGGGAUGAGGUGGAAUCCCCAUCCCCUACCCAUUUCCCCAUUUUAAUUUUUAAUUUUAUUUUUAUUUUUAAAAUUACUAAUAAAUAAAUAACAAAAUUAUAAAUAUUGUUAAAAAUAAUAAAUAUCAAAAUAGUUGUAUGUUGGGAAAGUGGUCACCCUUUGCCGGGAAUUAGUUGAAGAGUAUUAAUUGAAGUUUUCACCAACUGUUUAUUGCUUUGAUUAUACUGGUAGUAGUUCUUCUACUAGAUCUACAGGGGAUUCUUAUAAGAAAGCAACCAAAUGGAUGACAGGUUUUAAUGAUUAUGUAAACAAUGGAGAUUGUGCAGUUGUUGCAGAUGAAUUAGAUUCAUAUUUGGAUGAGAAAGUUAUAUCUCGGAUGGAAGAUUUUAAUAUUUUGAGUUGGUGGAAGACAAAUGCUAAUAGGUAUCCUACAUUAGCUCGAAUUGCUAGAGAUAUUUUGGCAAUUCCAAUUACAACAGUUGCUUCUGAAUCAGCUUUUAACACUAGUGGUAGAGGUGUGAGCUCAUACCAUAACAAACUUCAUCCAAGCACAUUGGAGGCCUUAAUGCUGCUGUACGGCCAAGGCGGAUGUACGGUACAGCAGAAAAUUUUUCUAAUAAAAUAGAUAAUUUUUUUACACCAUAAUCUCAUAGUAUUUUUCUAAUAAUUAAUUUAUACAUAAUUUCAUAAUAUUUUCCGAACAAUAACUUCUUUAAGUGUUUAAUCAAAGUUUUUGUGCUAAAAAAAAAAAAAGAAUGAUUCAAAACUGUAAAAUCCAAAUAAUAGAUUAGUCCAUAGCCCGACGGACCCAAAUUUAAAAAAUAAAUUAAAAUCAAAAUGUCCGAUAUCAAUUAUUUGAAUAGGAACUUCACCUAACGUGCGUUAAGUGUGGUGUGUGGUGGCGAGCUUUGAUUGGAAGAAUCAUGUGGUAGGAUUCAAUGCUCCAAUGAAAUUCGACACGAGUGCCGUCACACCGUAACAUACACAACCGGUGCGCACUAGAUUAGUUCCUUAUCAAAAUAUUCAAAUAACGAAGAUCAUUAAUUACUAUAGUUCCAUUCGGAGGCGUUGAUUAGAAAAUUAAUUUAAAAUAAUAAGAACGAAAUAAAAAUGCGAGUGCGCCUUACAUAUGGACAAUUUUGUAUUACCGUGGCGAAUUUAUGAAGUGAGUGAUGAUAGAAGUAUAAAACUCUUAUACUAAAUAAAUUUGUACAAAUUGAUAUUACUUUAAAUUCAUCGAAUAGAAAAAAAAUGUAAAAUAAUAAAAAUUAAAUCACUUAAACUAAAAAUUAUUUUAUUCCAAAUAAUUAAUUAUGUAGUCUGAUUUAAUAGGAGUAUGGGGCAUGUAUCUAUUGCAUUUCAGCAUUUACAUAGAGCAAUACAGUACAGGUACGUGUACUGCAAUUAAGCAGCGACGUCUGCAAAACUUACAUACGACAAAAACAGAAGACAUAUCAUUAAUAAUUGAAUUUAACAUCUGGAAACUCGUGAAGGCGAAUCUCAAUCCACGGCACCCGGACAUCUUUCCCUCACUCUCACGUGCAAUCCAUCUUUAAUUCUGAGUGUCAAAGAUAAUACCUUCUCCGGACACGUGUCCUUGUGUUGUACGUCAACCACAAACCUCUCAAUCACAGACGCUGCUAUUGAUUUCAUCUGAAUGUAAGCCAUAUCUUUCCCAAGACACAUCCUCGGCCCGGCGUGAAAAACCGGAAACCGAAACACAUUUUCCGGCCGAUAAAUUCCGUCCUCCAGCCACCUUUCCGGCAAAUAUUCAUUGCAAUUCUCUCCCCAUAUGCUCUCCAUCCGCCCCAUUGCAUAUGCAUGAUAAGUAACAAACCAAUCCUUUCCGACAAAUGUACCGUCUGGCAAGACAUCGUCGUUCCGGCAAGCUUUCGAGUCGACCGGAACCGGCGGGUACAGCCUCAACGUCUCCGAUAGCGCUGCAUGCAAAUAAUGCAUGUCUCGCAACUCCUCGAAACUGUAGGUAGCGCCAACGCUUCUCCCAUUUCGGGCCCGAAUCGAUUCAAGCUCCUUUAAAAUAUUUUGCUCAACCUUGGGAUGGGAUGCUAAUAGCCAAAAGAACCAACUCAAAGCCGAAGAAGUAGUGUCACGUCCAGCCAGGAUAAAGCUAAUCACGAUAUCUCGGAGAAAUUCGGUUGAGUUCUUCCCGUUUCCGAUAAACCGCGACAGCAAAUCGUCUUCCAUAUUCUCCGUUUUUUCUUCCAUUCUUGAACGUAUAAUGUUAUUUGCAAAUUCAUGAACUAUUGCAAUUGAAUUCUUUAGCUUUCGCUCUGAUCCGAUGUCAAAGAACUUCUUGACACUCCACAUAUGCCUGAAAGCGUAUCGGAAUCUCCCCGAACUAAGCGUUGCAGCAUCUUCAAAAGCCCGCAUAAACUCUGAACCAGCAGUUCCGUCGCCGCCGAGACAACCGGGAUCGAAGUUAAAUGCCACUUUACAAAUAUUAUCAAACGCAUAACGUUCCAAAAUAUCUUGUAAAUCCAACGCCAGUCCGGUCCUGGACGCUUUUGUGAGAAUCGGAACUAACCUCGAUAGAGUCUCGAACCUAACGCUGUCCAUCACGAAAUUUCGGAGCGAUUUUGUGUUGAACUCGUAGCUAGCCGUUUUCCUCUGUACUUUCCAUAACUCGCCAUCGGAGUUAAAGAUUCCUCGGCCGAGAAAAUCUUCGAGAAGGGUAACGAAGCGUUGACCUUUUGGGUAGUUCUCGAAGUUGGUCUUGAGUAUGUGUUCGACGUUUGCAGGGUUUGCCGUGAUGACGCCGUGAAUUUUGCCGGGGCGGUAAAAGAUGGCCGUGCCCGUGGGGCAGUGUUUAAGGAUUUCGGUGCUCCAGUCGAGGAAGCGGUGGCGGUUUCUCAAGUAUCCGGGCAAGGAUCCGACGACAGGGUAAUGUUUAAAGCCGACAGCAGGUCUUUUGUAUGAAGUAAAAAAGCACAAGUAGAGGUAAAGAGAGAGGAGGGAGAUGAAAAUGAAAGAUUGAAGAGAGAGGAGCAUUUCCAUAGCUAGAAUCAAGCUACGGAGAUAAGGAUCUCUCUUAUCUCGGUGAUCAAGAUAUAAAUAAAUAUAUAGAAAAAAAAUGAAAAGAGGCUAUAGGGGUUAUUUUAAGGUGCUGUAAAAUGUUAUACGCACGUGUAUUGGACGAGAAUACGAAGAGAUGACGAUAGCUUGUGUUGUGCACGAAUUAUUGGCUGUUUGCUUCGAAGGGAAAUGAAAAUGAUAUAAAAUUUAAAAAAUUUGAUCAGCGCUUAACACAAAUUUAACCUAGCAUCAUUGUAUUAACACAUAAAAAAAAAUUAAAAAAUUCAAUUUUUGUCCUAAAUUUCAUUUCCAAUAUUAUGACGUGAUGUGUCAUUAAAUUUGUUGAUAACUUUUCAUAUGUUUUAAAUGAAUGAAUUAUAUCUUUUCCAUCGAAGUCUUAAAAGA